rnacentral:rRNA from 1 species
GCUUAACGCGAAGAACCUUACCAGGGCUUAAAUGUAGUGGGACAGGUCCAGAGAUGGGCCCUUCUUCGGACUCAUUACAAGGUGCUGCAUGGUUGUCGUCAGCUCGUGCCGUGAGGUGUCAGGUUAAGUCCUAUAACGAGCGCAACCCCUGUCGUUAGUUGCCAGCGAGUGAAGUCGGGAACUCUAACGAGACUGCCGGUGCAAACCGUGAGGAAGGUGGGGAUGACGUCAAAUCAUCACGGCCCUUACGUCCUGGGCUACACACGUGCUACAAUGGCCGGUACAGAGAGCAGCCACGCCGCAAGGCGGAGCGAAUCUACAAAACCGGUCACAGUUCGGAUCGGGGUCUGCAACUCGACCCCGUGAAGCUGGAAUCGCUAGUAAUCGCACAUCAGCCAUGGUGCGGUGAAUACGUUCCCGGGUCUUGUACACACCCGGGGUCU